ACACACACACACUGACUGGGUGUGUGUGAGUGUGUGUGACUGGGAGUGCAAGUGAGCCACAGGGAACUUGGAGUGAAGAGGGUGAGUUGAUGGGUUUACACUGGAGUCGCCUCACUCACUACCUGUUACCUGCUGACCAGCCAAUAAGUCAGAAAGAAAACCCGAAGUCGAAAUAGAGCGAGCAGUGUUAGUCUACAGUACAAUCACCAAUGCAAACAGAAGGACAGGUGCCUGGUGAUGCUUCCUGUAAGUGCAUUGCUUGCGUCACUAGGACAAAUACACUUCUGGCAUUGCAACAAAAUACUCCCUGUUUCAGGUGAAGUCCUGCUACACCCGCAACACUGAAUCACUCAAGCACUGAAAAGAGGAGUGCAAACGGAAGGAUAAUUCGCGCACGUAUUAAAUGUGCGACUGCAUCUGUACCAAUGAACUGUACAAAAGCUAUUGGAAUCCAAAUGCUGCGUCUGGAGGAACCAUCACUCAACGAUUUUUUUUAAAAAUGUUUUCAUAAACAGCACAUGUAUUGCCCCGUAUAUUUUGCUUUACAUAAAGAGGCAUUAAUUUUAACUUGUGUGCUGCCCCUCAUUAAGCCACAAACGUGCACUACUUACAGUUCUGGUGACUCUUUGUCAUGUGGU